rnacentral:rRNA from 1 species
GACGAAGGGGGCUAGCGUUGUUCGGAAUUACUGGGCGUAAAGCGCGUGUAGGCGGUUGCCCAAGUCGGGUGUGAAAGCCUUGAGCUCAACUCAAGAACUGCCUUUGAUACUGAGAAGCUUGAGUCCGGGAGAGGUGAGUGGAACUGCGAGUGUAGAGGUGAAAUUCGUAGAUAUUCGCAAGAACACCAGUGGCGAAGGCGGCUCACUGGCCCGGUACUGACGCUGAGGUGCGAAAGCGUGGGGAGCAAACAGG